rnacentral:rRNA from 1 species
AUGCAAGUCGAACGCAGUAGCAAUACUGAGUGGCAGACGGGUGAGUAACAUGUGGGAAUCUGCCUUGUGGUUCAGGACAACAUUGGGAAACUGAUGCUAAUACUGGAUAAGCCCUUACGGGGAAAGUUUUAAUGCCAUAAGAUGAGCCCGCAUUUGAUUAGUUAGUUGGUGAGGUAAUGGCUCACCAAGACAAUGAUCAAUAGCUGAUCUGAGAGGAUGAUCAGCCACACUGGGACUGAGACACGGCCCAGACUCCUACGGGAGGCAGCAGUGGGGAAUCUUGCACAAUGGAGGAAACUCUGAUGCAGCGAUGCCGCGUGAGUGAAGAAGGCCUUUGGGUUGUAAAGCUCUUUUGUAGGGGAAGAUAAUGACUGUACCCUAAGAAUAAGGUCCGGCUAACUUCGUGCCAGCAGCCGCGGUAAUACGAAGGGACCUAGCGUAGUUCGGAAUUACUGGGCGUAAAGCGCGCGUAGGCCGUUGAGUUAGUUAAUUGUGAAAUCCCAAAGCUUAACUUUGGAACUGCAAUUAAAACUGCUCGACUAGAGUUUGAUAGAGGAAAGCGGAAUACAUAGUGUAGAGGUGAAAUUCGUAGAUAUUAUGUAGAACACCAGUUGCGAAGGCGGCUUUCUGGAUCAACACUGACGCUGAGGCGCGAAAGUAUGGGUAGCAAAGAGGAUUAGAUACCCUCGUAGUCCAUACCAUAAACGAUGAUUGCUAGAUGUUGGAAAUUUAUUUUCAGUAUCGCAGCUAACGCAUUAAGCAAUCCGCCUGGGGAGUACGACCGCAAGGUUAAAACUCAAAUGAAUUGACGGGGACCCGCACAAGCGGUGGAGCAUGUGGUUUAAUUCGAAGAUACGCGCAGAACCUUACCAACCCUUGACAUGUCUGUCGCGAGUUUAGGAAACUAGACUUUUUCGGUCGGCCGGACAGAACACAGGUGCUGCAUGGCUGUCGUCAGCUCGUGUCGUGAGAUGUUGGGUUAAGUC